ACCUCCUUUGUCCGUGAACUCACAACAUGACUUAAAUUAGUACACUGUCAAACAUUAACACAAAAACACCUUCCAAAUUCGAAGUCUGGAAUUUAUUUCUCUAACGGGUCAAAGCUUCACGAAUCGAAGAUGUGUAGCCCCUGUUGUGGACCUUGCUGUGGACCCUGUUGCAGUCCUUGCUGUGGCCCCUGCGGCCCCUGUGGCCCCUGUUGUAACGACUGCUGUGCACCGUGCUGUGGUCCGUCUUGCUGUGGACCCUGUUGUGGACCGUGUUGCAGCCCCUGCUGUGGACCAUGUUGUGGACCCUGCUCUAGCCCAUGCUGUGGAUCCUGUUGCAGCCCUUGUUGCAGCCCCUGCUGUGGUCCAUCUUGUGGUCCAUGCUGUGGUCCAUGCUGUGGGCCCUGUUGUGGUCCUUGCUGUGGACCCUGCUGUGGACCUAGCUGUGGACCCUGUGGCAGCUCAUGCUACGGCCCCUGCUGCAGCCCAUGCUGUGGUCCUUGUGGCCCCUGCUGCGGCCCCAGCUGCGGCCCCUGCUGUGCACCUUGCUGUGGACCCUGCUGUGGCCCAUGCGGUUCUUGUCCGCCAAAGUGCAAGUGAGGAUCGCCAGCGAACAGGUGGCAAAGACACAAAUGACACCAUAAGUUCGCCAAAGCCCGUUAGAGAAUCAUCCGCAAAAUCAACUCUCCAGCAUAGUCAAUAAAAAUACAUAAAAAGACAACCAAAAA